rnacentral:tRNA from 2 species
GCUGAUGUGGGCCAGUGGUUGGCAAGUAUUCCAUUGAAUUGGUAACACGGCGGUUCGAUUCCGUCCAUCAGCA